AUUGAACGCUGGCGGCAUGCUUUACACAUGCAAGUCGAACGGUAACAGGGUGCUUGCACCGCUGACGAGUGGCGAACGGGUGAGUAAUGCGUCGGAACGUGCCGAGUAGUGGGGGAUAACGCAGCGAAAGUUGUGCUAAUACCGCAUACGUACUGAGGUAGAAAGUGGGGGACCUUCGGGCCUCACGCUAUUCGAGCGGCCGACGUCUGAUUAGCUAGUAGGUGAGGUAAGAGCUCACCUAGGCGACGAUCAGUAGCGGGUCUGAGAGGAUGAUCCGCCACACUGGGACUGAGACACGGCCCAGACUCCUACGGGAGGCAGCAGUGGGGAAUUUUGGACAAUGGGCGCAAGCCUGAUCCAGCCAUGCCGCGUGUCUGAAGAAGGCCUUCGGGUUGUAAAGGACUUUUGUCAGGGAGGAAAUCCUAGUGGCUAAUAACUGCUGGGGAUGACAGUACCUGAAGAAUAAGCACCGGCUAACUACGUGCCAGCCGCCGCCGUAAUAC
rnacentral:rRNA from 1 species